rnacentral:rRNA from 1 species
CGGGACGGGUGAGUAACACGUAGAGAACCUACCUUACACAGGGGGACAACGGCUGGAAACGGCUGCUAAUACCGCAUAAGCGCCCAGUUUCGCAUGAAACAGAGUGAAAAGAGUAAAUCGGUGUAAGAUGGCUCUGCGUCUGAUUAGCUAGUUGGUGGGGUAAAGGCUCACCAAGGCGACGAUCAGUAGCCGGCCUGAGAGGGCGACCGGCCACAUUGGGACUGAGACACGGCCCAGACUCCUACGGGAGGCAGCAG